AACGAACGCUGGCGGCAUGCCUAACACAUGCAAGUCGAACGAGAUCUUCGGGUCUAGUGGCGCACGGGUGCGUAACGCGUGGGAAUCUGCCCUUUGGUUCGGAAUAACAGUUGGAAACGACUGCUAAUACCGGAUGAUGACGAAAGUCCAAAGAUUUAUCGCCAGAGGAUGAGCCCGCGUAGGAUUAGCUAGUUGGCGUGGUAAAGGCCCACCAAGGCGGCGAUCCUUAGCUGGUCUGAGAGGAUGAUCAGCCACACUGGGACUGAGACACGGCCCAGACUCCUACGGGAGGCAGCAGUGGGGAAUAUAGGACAAUGGGCUAAAGCCUGAUCCAGCAAUGCCGCGUGAGUAAUGAAGGCCUUAGGGUUGUAAAGCUCUUUUACCCGGGAUGAUAAUGACAGUACCGGGAGAAUAAGCUCCGGCUAACUCCGUGCCAGCCGCCGCAGUAA
rnacentral:rRNA from 1 species